GGAAAUCUGCAACUGUCUUCGGAUUUCUUGGCAUCUCAUAUGCAAAGCAGUGGAAAAGAGCCGACGAAGAUGUCAAUAAAUCUGCCGCUUUGGCCUUGUUUUGCAUUUCCGCUAACAGAGAGACAAAAACGCAGUCAUCCUCUCGGCAUCCCGAUCUCCCGAUCUCUGGACUCUAGACUCUGGACUCCAAUUCAAUCCAACUCGAAUCCCCAGCCAGCACACGCAAGCCAGCAAGCAAAACAGGUAAACAGGUCGGGAACGAGACUGAGUCCGAGUAUCAACAGCAGAUCCAGAUACAGUAGCCCCACGUCAAAACGAGAAAAUCAAUAAAUAAGAAAAUCACAAACCCACUGCGAAACUUGAUCUCGAACAGGAUGGACUCCAGAACGGGCAUCGAAUCGCAUCGCAUCGCAUCGAAUCGAAUCGAAUUGAAUCGAGAAGAUCAGCUAGAGAUCAGACAAGGAACAUCGGAUGGAGCUGGCCAAAGAUUCCUGUCCAGGCACGAACUUUGUUUUGAUAAUUUCUGCUGGGCAUCUGCUGGGACUCCUGAAAUUCAUUAUUUUAUUCGUGUCUCGUUGGCUUCUUAUUUUAUUUCGAUUUAACUCGCAGUUCAUUAAAAUUUCGUUUUCGGCUAAUAAA